rnacentral:rRNA from 1 species
AGUGAACGCUGGCGGCAGGCCUAACACAUGCCAGUCGAGCGGCAGCGGGUCCUUCGGGAUGCCGGCGAGCGGCGGACGGGUGAGGAAUGCAUCGGAAUCUGCCCUGUCGUGGGGGAUAACCUAGGGAAACUUAGGCUAAUACCGCAUACGACCCACGGGUGAAAGCGGGGGAUCGCAAGACCUCGCGCGAUAGGAUGAGCCGAUGUCCGAUUAGCUAGUUGGCGGGGUAAAGGCCCACCAAGGCGACGAUCGGUAGCUGGUCUGAGAGGAUGAUCAGCCACACUGGGACUGAGACACGGCCCAGACUCCUACGGGAGGCAGCAGUGGGGAAUAUUGGACAAUGGGCGCAAGCCUGAUCCAGCCAUGCCGCGUGGGUGAAGAAGGCCUUCGGGUUGUAAAGCCCUUUUGUCCGGGAAGAAAUCGUCUGGGCUAAUACCCCGGGCGGAUGACGGUACCGGAAGAAUAAGCACCGGCUAACUUCGU